rnacentral:rRNA from 1 species
CGGCGGACGGGUGAGUAACACGUGGGUAACCUACCUAUGAGACUGGGAUAACUUCGGGAAACCGGAGCUAAUACCGGAUAAUAUUUCGAACCGCAUGGUUCGAUAGUGAAAGAUGGCUUUGCUAUCACUUAUAGAUGGACCUGCGCCGUAUUAGCUAGUUGGUAAGGUAACGGCUUACCAAGGCAACGAUACGUAGCCGACCUGAGAGGGUGAUCGGCCACACUGGAACUGAAACACGGUCCAG